CAUAUCUCCCUCAGUUUCCCCCCUCCCAUAUCUCCCUCAGGUUCCCCUUCCCCCCCAUCUCUCCCUCAGGGUCCCCCCCCAUCUCUCCCUCAGGUGUCCCCUUCCCCCCAUCUCUCCCUCAGGUGUCCCCUUCCCCCCCUCUCUCCCUCAGGUUCCCCUUCCCCCCUCUCCCUCAGGUGUCCCCUUCCCCAUCUCUCCCUCAGGUGUCCCCUCUCCCAAAGUCCCUUCCCCCUCUCUCUCCCUCAGGUUCCCUCUCCCUCAGGUCCCCCUCUCUCCCUCAGGUCCCCCCUCCCCCCUCAGGUCCCCUUUCUCUCCUCAG